GUCCACGCCGUAAACGAUGAAUGCUAGUUGUCAGUAAGCAUGCUUAUUGGUUACGCAGCUAACGCAUUAAGCAUUCCGCCUGGGGAGUACGGCCGCAAGGUUAAAACUCAAAGGAAUUUACGGGGGCCCGCACAAGCGGUGGAGCAUGUGGUUUAAUUCGAAGCAACGCGCAGAACCUUACCCACUUUUGACAUGCCCAGUCUGAUCGGUAGAGAUACCUUUCUUCAGUUCGGCUGGCUGGUGCACAGGUGCUGCAUGGCUGUCGU
rnacentral:rRNA from 1 species